UGUCCCCAGAUGUUCCACAGCAACAAGGAAGAGUAUGGCCAUCCCCGGGACUUGCUCAGACUUGGGCUUAAGGAUCCAUCCAAAUAAGUGACAGAGAGGAAGCUUUUGGCUGGAAUGAGAUGGGGGAACGGAGACUCCAGAAGGACGGCAUCCCCGAAAAAGCAAAAGUCGCUUCAGCAGCACCCAACCCCCCGCAUCGAGUCACCGGCUUCCCUGAAGCCGUCGUCCUCGCCUUGCGCGCCCGCCUCCACCGGCGUGCCCAGGUCCCGACACUGUAGACA